AAUUUUGGACAAUGGGGGAAACCCUGAUCCAGCCAUCCCGCGUGUAUGAUGAAGGCCUUCGGGUUGUAAAGUCCUUUUGGCAGAGAAGAAAAGGUACCUCCUAAUACGAGGUACUGCUGACGGUAUCUGCAGAAUAAGCACCGGCUAACUACGUGCCAGCAGCAGCGGUAAUACGAAGGGUGCAAGCGUUAAUCGGAAUAACUGGGCGGAAAGCGUGUGUAGGCGGUUCGGAAAGAAAGAUGUGAAAACCCAGGGAUCAACAUUGGAACUGCAUUUUUAACUACCGAGCUAGAGUAUGUCAGGGGAGGGUAGAAUACCACGUGUAGCAGUGAAAUGCGUAGAUAUGUGGAGGAAUACCGAUGGCGAAGGCAGCCCCCUGGGAUAAUACUGACGCUCAGACACGAAAGCGUGGGGAGCAAACA
rnacentral:rRNA from 1 species